ACUAUGGAGCUAACUUAACCUAGAAUUCACUUAUUUAUUUAAGGCUCGCACAAUAGUGGGCACCGCGCGCUGAGUCGGUACCGAUCAGUGCGCGGUGCUCUUAAGGGCGCCACGCGAUUCUGGUAUCGGGUGGCGCGAGCUGGGGGAGGCACAUCGGGGGGUAGCAGGUGGCGGAGACGUGGAUGACGCAGCAGUCCUUCCCCAAAUUUUUCCAAGGCUUCCUGGUGUCUUGUGGCCAGCCUCGGCAGACUCAGGCAGACACCCAGAACUCCCGGUGGAAGGUCCAUAUGAUUCCUGACGUCUCACCAUUUUAGGGGAAAAUUCAGUGAAAAAAGCUCCACUUUCUGAAAGAUGAUGUCUUCAUCAAAAAGGAGAAAAAUGACUGAACGACAUUCUAGACGAGCUAGAGAAACUUACCAUGUCUGAUGAGAGUGAAUUUAGUGAUGAAGAUGAACCCAGUGGAAUGGUAAAACAAAUGGAACUACAUGGCCUUCACAUCAUGCCUGCAAAUGAUGGUUCUGUGACAGAUGAAGAUUCUGGCGAAGAAGAAAGCGUGGAUAUCUCUAAUCUUCCUGCAACACAACUAACUGCUUUUGCAGUGAUAGAAUCUUCAGAGUCACAAGAUGAAUGCAUUGAAGGACAAGAAUCCCAGAAAAAGAAAAUGAUAAAACUAAGAAAAUGGAAAGCACAAGAUCUCCCAGAAAAGAGAUAUGUUCCAUGUUAUCCAUAUAAACCAUCAGUUGUUAAGCAAACCAAUUAGGACAAGUUUAAACCCUGACUUGAACUUCCCUUGAGAGUAAACAAAGCGAGAAUGCAUCAUAGUACAGUAAAAGAUUUAAUGAAAGUAAAAAUUAUAAAGUUAA